rnacentral:lncRNA from 1 species
AAAAGGAUUAGUUUAUAUCAGAUACCUAUCAAACUCGAUUAAAUAUUAAUUAUGAGUUUUAAAAUUAAAACUCAUAUUUAUCAAAAAAAAAUUAGCUCGUUAAAAAAAAAAAAGUCAAAUACUCAUUAUGGCUAAUACUUAAUCGCCUCACUAAAAAAAUAAGGUUACCUUUUUCAUUAACUUUUGUCGCUUUUUAUAUUAGAUAUUAUAUAAAACUAAUAUUUAAUUAUUUCGCAUUUUGAUUUAUAGAUUUUUUUUAAAAUAACCAU